rnacentral:rRNA from 1 species
GACGAACCGUGCGAACGUUGUUCGGAAUCACUGGGCUUAAAGGGCGCGUAGGCGGGCCUCCAAGUCCGGGGUGAAAUCCUCCAGCCUAACUGGAGAAGAGCCUCGGAGACUGGGGGCCUCGAGGGAGGUAGGGGCGUGCGGAACUAUGGGUGGAGCGGUGAAAUGCAUUGAUAUCCAUAGGAACUCCGGUGGCGAAGGCGGCACGCUGGACCUCUUCUGACGCUGAGACGCGAAAGCGUGGGUAGCAAACAGG